rnacentral:rRNA from 1 species
CGCGUAGGUGGUUUGGUAAGUCGGAUGUGAAAGCCCCGGGCUUAACCUGGGAAUUGCAUUCGAUACUGCUUGACUAGAGUAUGGUAGAGGGAAGUGGAAUUCCAGGUGUAGCGGCGAAAUGCGUAGAUAUCUGGAGGAACAUCAGUGGCGAAGGCGACUUCCUGGACCAAUACUGACGCUGAGGUGCGAAAGCGUGGGGAGCAAACA